rnacentral:rRNA from 1 species
UACGGAGGGUGCGAGCGUUAAUCGGAAUUACUGGGCGUAAAGCGCACGUAGGCUGUAUGACAAGUCAAGGGUGAAAUGCCACGGCUCAACCGUGGAACUGCCUUUGAAACUGUCAAACUGGAGUAUGUGAGAGGGCGGCGGAAUUCCUGGUGUAGGAGUGAAAUCCGUAGAUAUCAGGAGGAACAUCAGUGGCGAAGGCGGCCACCUGGACCGGUAUUGACGCUGAGGCGCGAAAGCGUGGGGAGCAAACAGG